GGUGGCUCAGUGGUAGAGUGUUUGCCUUGCAUGCAUGAGACCCUAGGUUCAAUUCCUCAGCACCA
rnacentral:tRNA from 1 species